GAUGAAGAACGUAGUGAAAUGCGAUAAGUAAUGCGAAUUGCAGAAUUCCAGUGAGUCAUCGAAUCUUUGAACGCACAUUGCGCCCUUUGGUAUUCCGAAGGGCAUGCCUGUUCGAGCGUCAUUUCAACCAUCAAGCCCCCGGCUUGUGUUGGGGACCUGCGGCUGCCGCAGGCCCUGAAAACCAGUGGCGGGCUCGCUAGUCACUCCGAGCGUAGUAAUACAUCUCGCUCAGGGCGUGCUGCGGGUUCCGGCCGUUAAAAAGCCUUAUUUACCCAAGGUUGACCUCGGAUCAGGUAGGAAGACCCGCUGAACUUAAGCAUAUCAAUAAGCGGAGGA
rnacentral:misc_RNA from 1 species